AGUGAAAAUAAAAAUUCAAUAGCAGAGAAAAUUGGUCUAACUAUAUAAAGAAAAAUUGAACUUCCUAGAAAGGAAGAGGUUUUGCGAUGAGUAUGACAAGAUAAAGAUUCAGGCUUCAAUUAUGAAAAGUUCUGGGCNAAAACACUCUAAACACUUGCUGCAGAGUUUAAGAUUCGGCAAUCUAGUAGUAAUUUAUGCCAUUGCCAAGGAACUUAUAGGCUUGGAUUAGAAAACAUUUAUAUGUCCUAUGACUUUUUUUAACAAAAGGCAGCAAUGUGUUUUUCAAAUUUAUUUAAUCAAAAUAAAAAGAAACUAAAUUACAAAGUUGGAAAAUUAGGCAAAAUCCAAAAUAAACAAGCGGGCAUGCAUAUACAAGAACAUAUCAUAUGACAGUAUGAGUAAUGAUGAUCUAAAGACACAAAAUAAACAAACUGCAAAGACAUGAAGGGGGAAUAAAAGAAACUGCAAUUGUCACGUCCGCUAGGAUUUAAGCCUGUCAAAAAUCAUUUCCUGUGAUUGAAAGAGGAGGGGCUGAAAGAUCGGUACAACAGGCACUCAAAGCCCAAACCAGAAAGAUGGUCAUGAAAAGAAGAAAUAGAAGAAGUGAAAAUAAAAAUUCAAUAGCAGAGAAAAUUGGUCUAACUAUAUAAAGAAAAAUUGAACUUCCUAGAAAGGAAGAGGUUUUGCGAUGAGUAUGACAAGAUAAAGAUUCAGGCUUCAAUUAUGAAAAGUUCUGGGCACGGCACGGUGAAGGUAAGCAAACUCAAAAGAAUGAAGAGGAAGCUAAUGUGGGUCAAGAUGAUGACUCAUACUGAUGCAACAUGGAUACAAGCAAGAAGACACAUGUGAGAGGCAUGAGGAACAUUGUCGUUACAAGAAGAGAUGCAAGAACAACUAGGAUAGCAAAUGUAAUGUUAGUUCUUAGCUAAGAAGUUGCCUAUAAAGUUAGCAGCCAGGAAGAUCGGUAUGGCAAGGACACCUAACGGCUCAUCCAAAAGUAUUUAGGUAUUUUGUUUUACCAUACCUGAUGCGAUGCUAGAAGUAAAAUAGAUGAUAUUACUAGGGUAUCAUCCCACAAAUGCAUACAAGUAGUACAAUCCAAGAACUAAAUUGUAGAAAAACAUUAACAUAAAACAGCAUACAAGUAGUACAAUCCAAGAACUAAAUUGUAGAAAAACAUUAGAGGAAAUAAAUUGUUCAUUUUAAACAUAAAACAGCAUACAAGUAGUACAAUCCAAGAACUAAAUUGUAGAAAAACAUUAGAGGAAAUAAAACAGCAGAGAUCCAAUACAAGAAGAAGACAUGAUCCAUGAACUUGUGUGACUUUCAUGACUUUAACCAAACCAAUUAGAGGUUAACAAUGGUGGGCUUA
rnacentral:lncRNA from 1 species